rnacentral:rRNA from 1 species
GAUAAACGCUGGCGGCGUGCAUAACACAUGCAAGUCGAACGAAGUGGCGAACGGGUGAGUAACACGUGAGUAACCUGCCUUACACAAGGGGAUAGCCUUUGGAAACGAAGAAUAAUACACUAUAGUGUAAGAUGGACUUGCGUCUGAUUAGCUAGUUGGGGAGAUAAAGGCCCACCAAGGCAACGAUCAGUAGCCGGCUUGAGAGAGUGUACGGCCACAUUGGAACUGAGAAACGGUCCAAACUCUACGGGAGGCAGCAGUGGGGAAUAUUGCACAAUGGAGGGAACUCUGAUGCAGCGACGCCGCGUGACGAAGAAGGCUUUCGAGUCGUAAAGUUCUUUUAUAUGGGAAGCGGUACCAUAAGAAAAAGCCCCGGCUAACUACGUGCCAGCAGCCGCGGUAAUUC